UGCAUGGGUGUGUGUGUGUGUGUGUGUGUGUGUGUGCGCGCGCACGUGCACAUCCACGCAGCCAACCAUAAGC
rnacentral:pre_miRNA from 1 species